UAUGUUUUAGUAUAUGAUGUACAAAAGCUUUUGAUGCUUAAGGGAAUAGUUUAAUUCUGUUGAAUAUAA
rnacentral:tRNA from 1 species